UGCAAGUCGAACGAUGAACUCCCAUGCUUGCAGGGGGGGAUUAGUGGCGAACGGGUGAGUAACACGUGAGUAACCUGCCCUGGACUCUGGGAUAACCCCGAGAAAUCGGAGCUAAUACCGGAUAGGACCCUGUACCGCAUGGUGUGGGGUGGAAAGUUUUUCGGUCUGGGAUGGACUCGCGGCCUAUCAGCUUGUUGGUGAGGUAAUGGCUCACCAAGGCGUCGACGGGUAGCCGGCCUGAGAGGGUGACCGGCCACACUGGGACUGAGACACGGCCCAGACUCCUACGGGAGGCAGCAGUGGGGAAUAUUGCACAAUGGGCGCAAGCCUGAUGCAGCAACGCCGCGUGCGGGAUGACGGCCUUCGGGUUGUAAACCGCUUUUAGUAAGGAAGAAGGGGAGCUUGCUCCUUGACGGUACUUGCAGAAAAAGGACCGGCUAACUACGUGCCAGCAGCGGGGGGUAAAUUC
rnacentral:rRNA from 1 species